GGAGGAGGAGGAGGAGGUGGCCCAGGACGCCGAGCGAGGGGGCCAGGCCCUGGCACAGCCGGCACCCCCUGCCCUAAGGCCCGUCAGGGGCGGGCGGAUGCGCGGGCGUCGCCUCAGCUACCCCAGGCGCCUGGGCAAGAGGGCUCGGGCAGGCGCCGCUGAAGGGAGGGGACUGCGGGGGGCGGGUUAACAGCACCCAAGGCCGUUGUAGGCCUCAGCGGCCCCCAAAGGAGCGGGGACCCGGCGGAAGGCUCGGUGCCUGUGAAGCGCGACAUGGCGACAAGGCCGACGGCACCCGGAGGCCUAGUAGGUACAGAGAAAGGGCGGGGCUAAAGCUGCCUGGACGACCAUUAGACCUCUUACGUCUGGGCGGCGCGGAGACUGCAUUUCCCAGAGGGCCUCGCGCGGCGCGGGCUUGGCGGGGGCGGGGAAAAGGAAGCGCCUCGGAGCCAGUGCGCAGGCGUGAGAGUCCCCGGUGGCUACUUAAGGGAGGCUGGCUCGCUGUUCUUCCUUUCGCGUCUGCGGCGCUUUGUCUUCUUUGUGGUCUGCUGUCUUUUCUUCAUCCGAUGUCGUCUCAACCCUGGAAUCAGAAUUUACUACUGUAUGUGAUUUGCGUGAUCAGACGCUACAGAAUGAAUCUUGGCGGAGGGGUCCCUGCUGGGGCUCAAAGGGAACCACGUGUCGACAGGCACAACCUUCAGCUUCCUGACCUCUGGAGCUCACUGUUGGCAGCAAACAGGCAUUGAAUGGACCAUGAUGGAUCCAGGAUUGGGAGAGAAUUUGUAAGUCAUAUCUAUUUAACCGCUUUUUUUUUUGAAGGGGUUAUCCCCCUAUGUUCUACUUUUCUGUAUGGCCAUUGCAGCUGAUGACUUAACUUUUUUCCCCAUCAGAUCGACCCUGUUGAUCCAACUGAACUAUUAGCCAGUUUUGUCUGAUGCAUUGGCCUCAAAGAUAACUCCUAUUUGAUUUCUGCUUACCACUGACUUUCUCUGUGGGUGGUUUUUUUUUUAAACUGGGAAUAGGGCCUGCCCUAUGAUUUCCUCCCCGGCAUCAUUCAAGUCAUUUAUCUUUGCUUCCUCUUACUUUCCUACAGGACCAGAGCCCUGUGUACAUCAGGGCCUACAUAGGUUGAUGGCAGCCUGAUUGCAGUUUGGUUCAGUUCUGUAACAGGUAAGAUUUUUGUAAAUUUUUGUCCCUUUAGGUGUUAACCCCUUGGUAAAAUGAUAACUGAUUGUGUUGCGGGUAGAGAAGUGUUGGGUUUGCCCAGUUGGGAGUGACUUGGGGACCAGUUGCAAGUAGGGUUCCAAGUUACCUUUUGAGUUGAGUUCCAAAUGGCUUGUAAUUCAUUAUGAAAGAUUGAAUUCUUAACACUGUUAGUUGGAUGCCAACCUCAGUACAUUACUCCAUGGGCCUCUUAAACAUGGCGGACAGACUCCUCUGUCCAGUGGCAAAGAAGUCUGGGUUUGAUCCCUGGUCAGAGAACUAGAUCCUAUGUGCAUCAGCUAAGGCCUGGUGCAGCCAAAUCAAUAGAAGUAAAUAUUUUAAAACUACUGCCUUGCAUCAUCACAGUGAGCAGAUCAAGGAGACAGUUUUUUACCUUCUGCCUCCCUUCUUAAACAUAACGCUUUGUAUGCCUGCUUAUCCACUUUACAUUCAGAUGCCUCCAUUUGUCCCUAAAGUAUCUUUUGCAUUUAUUUCAUGCAGAAUGUUGAGUAGAAUCAAUAUUUGGCAUAUCAGGAACAAUAUUGACUUUGAUGGGCAGACCCCAGGUUGGAAGCCUCCCUCCUUGGUCUGGUACUUACCUGUACAUCUUCCUAGUUCCUGAAGUUUAGAUACUCCGACAUCCCAAACAAGUAGCCAUUUGCAUCCUAAUGAAGUACUGAUUGUGAUGUGUCUUUCUUUUUAAGGAGUUUCAACUGUGGAGUCAGAAUGCAAGGCCUCUUGAGAAAAAUGUACAUUUACUUCUGAAGCAUGAAGCAUGAAGGUUUGGGUUGUUGUGUAACCUAAGUGUGUAGAGGUAAAAAGCUUGUGGCUGUUUUGGUUAUUUUACUUUGUAGCCUUCCUGUCUAGAGAAAUAAAAUAAAAUCCUUUAAAUGAAAAUGCUGUUCU
rnacentral:lncRNA from 1 species